GUAUGGACAAAAGGGACGUGGUAAGAAAUACGUUCAUCAUGCAAAAGAAGAGAAGUAUGAAAUAUAUCCUGAAAUCAAAGAAUUCCCUGAUGUUAAUCUCAAACAAAAAGAAGAUUUCAGUAAAUUAAUAUCAUGGGGUAACGCUUUGCAAAAGUUUUGGGUUUCAUCUUCUUAUUAUUUGGAGGCUGCGGGUCAACCUUGACCAGAUUUUUAUUUGAUGAUCAAAGUCAUAUUAUACUUUACAUACGGUGGAAAAAGAAAGUAUAUCUCAGUAUAGAGAUAAGUAUAGAGAUAAGCUGGACAAAACACUCAUGUCUCAUGAUCUUUCUAAUAUGGAAUUCUUAAGAACCCUAGUUGAAAAUCAAAUGUCAAAGUCAACACAAAGUGAAGAUCAAGAAAUAAAUGAUAAUUUAUUU